rnacentral:rRNA from 1 species
GACGAACGCUGGCGGCGUGCUUAACACAUGCAAGUCGAACGGUAAGGCCCUUCGGGGUACACGAGUGGCGAACGGGUGAGUAACACGUGGGUGAUCUGCCCUGCACUUCGGGAUAAGCCUGGGAAACUGGGUCUAAUACCGGAUAGGACCACUGCCUGCAUGGGGGGUGGUGGAAAGCUUUUGCGGUGUGGGAUGGGCCCGCGGCCUAUCAGCUUGUUGGUGGGGUGAUGGCCUACCAAGGCGACGACGGGUAGCCGGCCUGAGAGGGUGACCGGCCACACUGGGACUGAGAUACGGCCCAGACUCCUACGGGAGGCAGCAGUGGGGAAUAUUGCACAAUGGGCGCAGGCCUGAUGCAGUGACGCCGCGUGAGGGAUGACGGCCUUCGGGUUGUAAACCUCUUUCAGCACCGACGAAGCGCAAGUGACGGUAGGUGCAGAAGAAGGACCGGCCAACUACGUGCCAGCCGCCGCGGUAA